rnacentral:lncRNA from 1 species
AUGUUUCCUUCUUUUGGCAGUUAUGAAUUGCUUGCAAGGCUAAAAGAGAAAAAAAAAAAUGUUUCAUGUGGCAUUUCCAUUUGCAACGCUGUUACAUCCAUUAGGAUGAAUGACACAUCAUGUCAUGGGUGGAUUCAUAGAAGAAGAAUUUUUAUCUUUAUGGAAAGAAAUUUGCUAAAUUAUCAGGAUAGGAUAUUGCCAAAUUACCUAAUAAUGAACUCUAUUUUAAAUGCGUCAGCCACAGAAAUAUUUAUAAAAGGAGGUGACCGGUGGCCAAUUCAGUGCUUGGAUCUACGUAGUGAAGAGAGAAAUGCCCGUAUUCUCAAAGUCCACAGAGGUAUCCAAGGAGAAGUGAUAAAGCCCUCAUUCCAAAGACAAAUGGAUUAAUAAAUAGUGUCUUCACGUAAAUCACCGCUAAGAAUCUAGAGAUCCUGAAGAGACAUGGAGCAUAAGAAA